GACAGAGGGUGCAAACGUUGUUCGGAAUACUGGGCGUAAAGGCGUGAUGUAGGCGGUCUCUUAAGUCGGAUGUGAAAGCCCCGGGCUCAACCCGGGAAGUGCACUCGAAACUGGGAGGCUAGAGUACUGGAGAGGUUGGUGGAAUUCUCGGUGUAGAGGUGAAAUGCGCAGAUACGGGAAGAACACCCGUGGCGAAGGCGGCUCUCUGGGACGGUACGUGCGCUG
rnacentral:rRNA from 1 species